rnacentral:rRNA from 1 species
UGGGGAAUAUUGGACAAUGGGCGAAAGCCUGAUCCAGCAAUGCCGCGUGAGUGAUGAAGGCCUUAGGGUUGUAAAGCUCUUUUACCAGGGAUGAUAAUGACAGUACCUGGAGAAUAAGCUCCGGCUAACUCCGUGCCAGCAGCCGCGGUAAUACGGAGGGAGCUAGCGUUGUUCGGAAUUACUGGGCGUAAAGCGCGCGUAGGCGGCUACUCAAGUCGGGGGUGAAAGCCCGGGGCUCAACCCCGGAACUGCCCUCGAAACUAGGUAGCUAGAACCUUGGAGAGGCGAGUGGAAUUCCGAGUGUAGAGGUGAAAUUCGUAGAUAUUCGGAAGAACACCAGUGGCGAAGGCGACUCGCUGGACAAGUAUUGACGCUGAGGUGCGAAAGCGUGGGGAGCAAACA